rnacentral:rRNA from 1 species
AGAGUUUGAUCCUGGCUCAGGACGAACGCUGGCGGCGUGCUUAACACAUGCAAGUCGAACGGAAAGGCCCUUCGGGGUACUCGAGUGGCGAACGGGUGAGUAACACGUGGGUGAUCUGCCCUGCACUUCGGGAUAAGCCUGGGAAACUGGGUCUAAUACCGGAUAUGACUACGGAUCGCAUGGUCUGUGGUGGAAAGCUUUUGCGGUGUGGGAUGGGCCCGCGGCCUAUCAGCUUGUUGGUGGGGUUAAGGCCUACCAAGGCGACGACGGGUAGCCGGCCUGAGAGGGUGACCGGCCACACUGGGACUGAGAUACGGCCCAGACUCCUACGGGAGGCAGCAGUGGGGAAUAUUGCACAAUGGGCGCAAGCCUGAUGCAGCGACGCCGCGUGAGGGACGACGGCCUUCGGGUUGUAAACCUCUUUCAGCACAGACGAAGCGCAAGUGACGGUAUGUGCAGAAGAAGGACCGGCCAACUACGUGCCAGCAGCCGCGGUAAUACGUAGGGUCCGAGCGUUGUCCGGAAUUACUGGGCGUAAAGAGCUCGUAGGUGGUUUGUCGCGUUGUUCGUGAAAACUCACAGCUCAACUGUGGGCGUGCGGGCGAUACGGGCAAACUGGAGUACUGCAGGGGAGACUGGAAUUCCUGGUGUANCGGUGGAAUGCGCAGAUAUCAGGGAGGACACC